CCUACGGGUGGCAGCAGUGGGGAAUAUUGCACAAUGGGGGCAACCCUGAUGCAGCGAUGCCGCGUGGAUGAAGGAGGACUUCGGUAUGUAAAGCUCUAUCAGUAGGAAGGAAAACGACGGUACCUGUAUAAGAAGCCACGGCUAACAACGGGCCAGCAGCCGCGGGAAUACGGAGGGUGCAAGCGUUAUCCGGAAUUACUGGGUGUAAAGGGAGCGUAGGCGGUAGUGCAAGUCCGGAGUGAAAGCCCGGGGCUCAACCCGGGGACUGCUCUGGAUACUGGAUAGCUGGAGUGCGGGAGGGGCAGGCGGAAUUCCUGGUGUAGCGGUGAAAUGCGUAGAGAUCAGGAGGAACACCGACGGCGAAGGCAGCCUACUGGGCCGUUACUGACGUUGAGGCGCGAAAGCGUGGGGAGCAAACAGGAUUAGAUACCCCUGUAGUC
rnacentral:rRNA from 1 species